AUUUUUUUGGAGAGCAUAUUUUUCUUUGAACAAAAUGUUGAUGGUGUUGGAUUUUGGGUGAAUCUGGAUGGAAGCACACGAUGCACCAACAUUCCUUUGAGAUUCAAGAGGUGAUGCAUAUCCGAGAAUGAGGAAAAGUUGUUCCAUUUAAGAGGGUUGUCACACCAGGAGCUGAAGCUAGUUCACGGUCUUGGAGCGUAGAAUUGUGGAUGCUCUCUUUCUUUUGUUUUGGAAUGACACGGUAACAAUCACUCUUGGCUGAAGAAAAAAAAACUGAAUUGUGAUUGUGCGUUUAUUUUAUUGUAGCCGCCAAUUUCAUUUUUACUGUUGCAGUUUCGUUUUUACUGUUUUAAUUUCAUUUUCAUGCAUGGUGAAAAAUUUUCAACCCCCCCACUACGUGUUAGACCUGAGACUCGAACCACAGUUUGGUCCUUGAGAGACGACCUAGGAGUCACUUCCUAGUCUAUACUACAUUUCCAAUAUGCAAUCAAAUUUGUAUGGGCCGCGACACCCAUCAAAUUUUGGCGCCGUUGCCGGGGACGAACGGUUCGGUUUUAGGUCUUUUGUUGUGUUAGUGUGUGUUAUCUUGUCUUGUGUUGUGAGUGUGAUGUUCUGUUUUGUGUNUUNGUCAUUGUGUGUUGCAUUUAGGUAGCUUUAGUUGCAUAUUUUCAUUGCAUUCUUCUUUUCCCCCUUCUUUCACAUGUCUACCUGUUUUGGCUGUGUGGAUACUGUUUCUUCUGCCUGUGCCUCUGAUAGUGCUUCUCACGCAUAUUCUGCUGAUUUUUAUGUUGAGAACAAUAUGACUCAUCCUUCCCGUCUUGAGAGUGCUCUUUGGGAGCCGAUUCCACUUGAUGAGGUUG
rnacentral:lncRNA from 1 species